UGGGGAAUUUUGGACAAUGGGCGAAAGCCUGAUCCAGCAAUGCCGCGUGCAGGAUGAAGGCCUUCGGGUUGUAAACUGCUUUUGUACGGAACGAAAAAGCUCCUUUUAAUACAGGGGGCCCAUGACGGUACCGUAAGAAUAAGCACC
rnacentral:rRNA from 1 species